AUGAAAAUCUUAAUCUUCCUCUCCAGUCUUGUGAUCAUCUGUGGUGUUCCCCUGAAACAUGAUAAUAUUUGGAUACGACUUGCAGAUAUCACAGGAUCAGAUAAUAUCUGCCUCCAGCAGGAUGUGCACAUAGGAGCUAUCUUGGGAUCCUGUCUGCUGCCUGUUUGUCAUCCAGCCGAAGAGAUUAAAAAUCUUACCUUCUUCUCACAAUUCCCAAGCAAGACUGUUUCUUAUGCAGACUCAUACAAUUGGGGAACUCCGUCUUAUAAAUUACCUAAGGACAUAAUUCAGUUAAUGACGCCUCAUGUGGCUGUGUCAAAAAAUGACACUUGUGCAGUGAUAAAAAAUUGUACCACAAAAUGUAAAAAAUUGGGUAAUGGAUUACAUUGUAAUAAGACUCAAAAAAUAUCUUAUGGCACUGGACAUAUUCUGUUGCCAGAAGGUUGGUUUUUCUCCUGCGGUAAUUUUACUUUUAAUUAUAUCCCUGCUAACAUUUCUGAUGGGAUUCAUUGUUGCCUUAGCAGACUAACUGUCUUUCUUCCUUCCCCUGAGAUGUUAGACUAUAAGAAUACCACACGUAAUCGGCAUAAGAGUCAAUCUUUACACCAAUUAGAUCCAUCCUGUGAUGAUGCAGUAAAUCUGCUCUCAAAGGAAGAAGUAGACGCUCUAGCCUUUUCAUUAGUAGGGGUUCCUGGUUUAGCUUUAGGUGCUUAUAAUACUGUUACAAAACUUGCAUGCACUAUGGUAAAAAAUAUUAAUAGUACCUCAACAGCCUUGUCUUUGUUAAACGAAGAACAACAAGUAUUACAGCAAGGUAUUCUAGAUAAUCGUGCAGCCAUUGAUUAUCUUCUCUUAUUACAUCACAAAAAAUGCAAUCAAGUUAAAAAUAUGUGUUGUUUUAAUCUUACUGAUAACUCUCAUAGUAUUGCUGUUGAAAUCCAAAAACUCACAGAACUUGCUUCUCACUUUACUCAAGACAAAGGGUCCGAGAGCUUAUUUAAUUGGCUUACAUCCUGGCUGCCAAAUUUCUCCUGGCUUAAAGAACUGUUUGUGGGGAUUGUAAUCUUCCUCAUACACCUCCUUACAGCUGGUCUUGUCGGCAGGUGUUUUGUGUAUUUUCUGACUAGGCAUUGGAAUUCCCUCAGAAGAUAA
rnacentral:lncRNA from 1 species